rnacentral:lncRNA from 1 species
AACAACGGUAAGAAUAAGCUUGUAGCGGGCUUAUGGAAACAUCUCAAAAUUAUGAGGUGAGCUUCUGCCACCAACGGAAACAAAUGAUUGGAUUGAUAUCAACAAGGAGACGAGAAACUUAUUUCACCGGGAGGACAAAUGAAGAACUUGGGUCAUUUAUAAGCACCAUAAAUAGCAACAAUCCUUAGGGAAAGCUUUAGGUGAAAUAUAACCCAAGAUAACUCCAAUGAAGAGAUUGAUGGAUUUAAAAUACCUCAUUCUUGACAACAUGUGAAUCAUGAAGCAUGAAGGGAAAUUGUCAAGAAUGACAUAACACCACCUCAAAAGAUAAGGUAGAAAGAAUUGCACUUCGGAAUGCAAGAUGAAGAAUGCUUGAACUCCUCAAAACAAAACAUGUGUUAAGCACCCUGUUUAAUUUUGAGUAUAGCUUGGCAGAUCAUAACUUCGAGAGAAAUCUUGAAAAUAAUAAUUGAACAAUGAAAGGAAUCCUUGACGAAGCACCAUGUAGAGCCUCCAUGAGAACACAAGGUGAAGCCUUGCGAUAAUUUAGAUGGAGCUUCGUGAUGAUAUAGCCGAGAAAAACUUGGAACUUCGGAGAGAAAGAUGAACAAAUUAAAUCAAGAAUUUUGAUGAACCUCCGGAAUAAGGAAUUGAAUUUUACUCGAUGAAACAAGAAUAAGACUUACAUUAUGCGUAUCCUUCACCAAUUUAGAUUGACGACAAGCAACGGAUUUUGCAUAAUACUUAUUCUCGUAGAAAGGAUUAAGAUAGAUAUUGCGCAAACUUGGAAGGUCUUCAUCGAACCACCGGUAGGAUUGAAACAACGAAUAAAUUGAUAUGUGACGAAGGAAGAGAAAUCUAGAACGAACCACCAUAAGAAUCUAAAAAUGAACGAAGAUAAGAUAAAGAAACACCGGGAAGAAUUAGAAAACGAAUAAAGAUACUUGACAGAAUUUAGAUACAAGUGAAACGAAGAGAUCAUGAAUUGAUUAGAGAAUACUUGAAUGAUGCACCGGUAAGAUUUGGAGAACAAGAGCUGAAUGUUGAGAACGAAUAAAUCUUCUGAAAUGAUGGUCUUCGGAGAAUCAAACUGAAAAGACUCAUGAAUUGCUCCGGAUGGGUGCAAAGAAUUCUCACAAUUGAAAACAAUUAUGAGCGGAUGGCAUCAAGCUAGAACCAUGAAUCUUGAAGAGAAUGGAGUAAGAUUUAAGAGAAACCCUUCUUCGGUUUUCAAAUGUUGAGAAUGACGAUGAGAAACACCACCAUGAAUUGUUGAGGCACUCCGGAAUGAAGAAUAGAAGGUUGAACCAACGAUGAAAGAAUUUGAAAGAUCUUGGAGAAAGACAUUUGACUGAUGAUAACUCAUUCUUACGUCAAACUUCGAAAAGAAUUUGGGAAUAGCUCCGGGAAAAUUAGAAUAGUCAGGUAAGAUCCUGGGAAAAGACCUGUAGGUUAGGGCCCACUCAAAAGAUACACCGUUGAACAAUUUAAAAGAGAGAUUGCGCCGGUUCAAUUAAAUGGCUUGAAUAAGGUAAGACCUUGAAAUAGCUACAAAGGAUUAAGAAUAGAAACAUGAAUCCUCUGAGAUACCUUCAGCACUCCAGAUAAACAUGAAUAGCAAGAGGUGGAUGAUUAAGAGGUGCACCGGCAUGAGAAAACAUUUGAAACGAGGAAAGGAUAUGAUCGACAAAGCUUGAAUUGAAUCCACCGGAGAAGAAAAAGAACAAAGAAUAAUAAACUUGAAGCUCCGUUAGUAUCUUCAUGGGAAAUCACCGGAUAAGAACAUUGAAAGAAAAUAAUGAAGAGACUUCGCAUCAAUAAAAAGGAUACUUGAUUAAGAAAUCUGAGUCCUUGAAGAAAAAGGGUGGGAGGGCGGGAAAACAAAGGCACUUGGGAUGGAUGAAACGAACUACUUUGGGAAACUGAGAGGUGAUCUUGCGAAUGUUGAAAUGAUCGGAUCCACUUGAAGAGAAGCACGCCGGUUGGAAAGAAUUGGAAUGACAAUCUCGAUGAUCAAGAAGGAUUACCACUCUCAUAGAAAUAUGAGAACACCGCUUAGGAAAGGUAUGGAAUCAACACUUGACAUUGAAGCAACUUGAAUACCUCAACUUAAAACAAAACAAAGGAUUGGUUUGCAGAAUAAGCCGGAACAAACAUAUGAUAGAGAUUUCGCUCAAAGUGUUCAUGAUGAGGCCCCACGGGCACGACGUACAGCGGACGUCACGAAUGACAAACAAGACGUCCCCGAAUCGGCAUAGCCAAGGAUUCUUUAAAACGCCCCGCGACCACUGUAAAUCGACCGUGAAAAGCGAACCACUAGACGUUGGACCCCAAUCUCAAAUCAUACAUCUGUCGAAAAGAUAUUCUAGGAGCUACUUGAAUUCCCACCUAUAAACACCUGAAACUUUCUGGUUAUGCAAUCUGGUGUUGGGGAUACAGGGGACGCAACAUAUCUCACCCAAACUAACAAUACCUAGAUCCAGUUGUAUCCAUCCGUCAACACAUAACCAAGAAAACUCUGGAAAUCGUGUACCUCAACCUUCGAAAAGCAUCCGUUAUACGAGUUAUGGAAAUACUCCCGAACUCCCGCCCCAGUGCUGCGUGGCGUCGAGGUGAUCUCACCAACAACUGCAUAAAAGAGAUUUUCGAUGUCGGCGAAACUCAGGUAUUCCAGAACUGAACGAUAAAAUUGAGACGAUAACACCUCGGAGCUCAACUCCCCGGGACACUGCCACAACCCCUAAAUGUCAGGAGGCACCAAGAACAAUGUUCUCGUCACAAAACUAUCAGAACGAUUCCAAGAUACCCGCGUGAUCCUAAAAAAAUAGUGAAAUUUGAGAAGAGGAAAGACAAAACAUCUACAUCAGGAGACCUCAACAGAGCGACGAGGGGACUGAGGAGUAAAAGAAUCCUACUCUCCGAUAUAUAUAAUCCUAAGACUCAAAACAUUUUUGUUCUAGACUCAACAACGUCAGCGAUUCGAUCAAGCAGGGGGCUCCUAAGUCGGGGAUGGCUCUGAUUACCAACUUGUAACACCCACGAUGCGGCUAUAUCUCCCACGUGUCGAGGCACGACUUGGAUGCAUAACCGCAUGGUGGUUUUGUCGCAAGAAGGGUCAUCUUCACACAAUCCCAUGUAAUGAACAAGAAUGGGAUAAAGAGAGUUGGCUUACAAUCGCCACUUCACACAAUACAUAAAUAAAACAUACAUCCAUCAGAGUACACACAUAGGUCCGACUACGGAACCAAAAGAAAAGAAGACAACCCCAAAUGCUAGAUCCCCGACCGUCCCAACUGGGCUCCACUACUGAUCCUCAGGUAACAAAACAUAGUAACGACCAAGUUCUUCAUCGAGCUCCCACUUGAGCUCGGUUGCGUCAUUUGCACUGGUAUCAUCGGCACCUGCAACUGUUUGGAAGUAUCUGGUGAGUCACGAGGACUCAGCAAUCUCACACCCGCGAGAUCAAGACUAUUUAAGCUUAUGGGUAGGAGAAGGUAGUGAGGUGGAGCUGCAGCAAGCACUAAGCAAAUAUGGUGGCUAACAUACGCAAAUAAGAGCGAGAAGAGAAGCAACGCAAUGGUCGUGAAGCUAGAAGUGAUCAAGAAGUGAUCCUGAAACUACUUACGCACAACCAUAACACAAGAACCGUGUUCACUUCCCGGACUCCGCCGAAAAGAGACCAUCACGGUUACACACGCGGUUGAUGUAUUUUAAUUAAGUCAAGUGUCAAGUUAUCUAUAACCGGACAUUAACAAAUUCCCAUCUGCCACAUAACCGCGGGCACGGCUCUCGAAAGUUUAUACCCUGCAGGGGUGUCCCAACUUAGCCCAUCACAAGCGCUCACGAUCAACGAAGGAUAUUCCUUCUCCCAGGAAGACCCGAUCAGACUCGGAAUCCCGGUUACAAGACAUUUCGACAAUGGUAAAACAAGACCAGCAAAGACCGCCCGGAUGUGCCGACAAAUCCCGAUAGGAGCUGCACAUAUCUCGUUCUUAGGGCACACCAGAUGGGCAAGACGUCGGGUUGGCAUAGACCCUGGUUGCCCAGGGGGCGUCGGACAUCGCCCAGGUUUGGACCAGCCCUCAGAGGAACACUGGCCCGGGGGGUUAAAAUAAAGAUGACCCUUGAGUCUGCAGAACCCAAGGGAAAAAGGCUUAGGUGGCAAAUGUUAAAACCAAGGUUGGGCCUUGCUGGAGGAGUUUUAUUCAAAGAGAACUGUCAAGGGGGUCCCAUAAAUCACCCAACCGCGUAAGGAACGCAAAAUCAAGGAACAUAACACCGGUACGACGGAAACUAGGGCGCCAAGAGUGGAACAAAACACCAGGCAUAAGGCCGAGCCUUCCACCCUUUACCAAGUAUAUAGAUGCAUUAAUUAAAUAAGAGAUAUUGUGAUAUCCCAACAUAUCCAUGUUCCAACAUGGAACAAACUUCAUCUUCGCCUGCAACUAGCAAUGCUAUAAGAGGGGCUGAGAAAAGUGUAACAUAGCCAAACAACGGUUUGCUAGGAAAGGUGGGUUAGAGGCUUGACAUGGCAAUAUGGGAGGCAUGAUAAACAAGUGGUAGGUAGCGCGACAUAGCGAUAGAGCGAACAACUAGCAAGCAAAGAUAGAAGUGAUAUCGAGGGUAAUGGUCAUCUUGCCUGAAAUCCCGCAAGGAAGAAGAACGAGUCCAUGAAGAAGACAAACGGUCGUAGUCGAACGAAUCCUCACAACUCCGGAACGAAACCGAAGCUAACGAGAGAAGCAACCCAGAAAGAAACAAACAACAUGGUAAACAACCAUCAUAUGAUCAUGGCAUGAUGCACAAUCAAGUAUGAUGCAUGUCCGGUUUAAUGAUUCAUGGCAUGGCAAAGUGCAACAAACAACACUACAAAUUAAGUGGAGCUCAAUAUGCAACGAGUUGCAUAUUGACGAAACGCCACAAUAAUUAUUUAGUUCUCUCUCAUUUAUGUACCCAACAAUAUUAAAUGUUAUUAAACAUGGCAAGGGGUGAAGCAUAUGAAAACUACCUAUCUAGGCAAGUUUAAAUGAGGCCGGAACAACAAACAACAAUUCCAGAAAAUCCUGAUGUGCAUAUUUUAGAUUUGGUACUGUUCUGCCAUAAACACAAUUUUAACAUUGUUAAAUAGAAAAAUAAAAUGCACCAAGUUAAUCUAUGCAUUUUUCUACCCCAUUUACAUCUAAAGUUUAUUUAAAUCUGAGCUACGGUUAUUUAGUUAUGAAAUAAAUCAUUUUAACAUGGCAUUUAUACAAAUUUAAACAAACAACAAGUUUAAACAUUUUUAACAUGGAUGAAAGUAGCAUAUUAUGAACCUAGAUUAAAUUCUAAGCAUUUUACAUAUUUAAAACAUUUUAAUCCGAUGCACGGUUUGUGAGAUAUUAAAUGCAUGAACAUAAGGGUUUUUCUGUAAAACUGCAGUUCUUCGGAUAAUGCUAAAAUCGCAGGAGCAGGAAAAAAACAGAACGGGCUGAAACUAGUUGGCCCGUUAGUUCAUAGGGGGAUGGAUCUUAGGCGGCUGCUCACAUUGGGCCAAAUGGCUGGCGGGGAAGCAGAGCGGGUGGGCUUGGAGCAGAAGCUGGGCCUUGACGCGGUGCAGCAGAAGCGGCCCAAGGCGAAGAGGCCACGCGCGCGAGACGACAGGUCAAUGGGCACGGGCGCUGCUCGUGCGCUCGUUCACCUUGUGUGGACGAAGCAACAUGGACGGGAGCGAUGCGGGGACUUGGCGCAGGGCGGCCCGGCAGCGGGCACCCGAGGUGGAUCCGGCGAGGUCUGACCGCGGAGGCGCGCCGGCGUCGAGGUGCGGCGACAACGCGAGAUCCGGCUAGGACGCGGCUUGGACGAGGCAGCAGCAAGCUCCGGCUCUGGUUCUCUGACGGAAAAAGGAAACGAGACAGCGAUGUGAGAGGGAGAAAAGAGAAGCCGGAAAAGAAGGAACGAGCGGCGCAGGGCUCAUCUGCAGGUGGUUCUCGUCGGCGGAGGGAGCUCCGGUGGCGCUGCAGAACUUGCACGUGAACGGGGCGAAGUAGAGGAGAUCCCCUGGUGUCUCCCACGAACCGGGGUCGUAGCGAGCCAAGGGAAGGAGCUCCUGGCAUGGGGCUCUGAGGACGGGCGAGCUGCGGGACAAGAGGCUGCAGGCGCGGGGCUUCUGCUCGCCCGAGAUAGCGUGAAGCAGAGGACGAUGGACGGCGGCUUAGUGGUCACGCGUGGUCGAAGGCGCACGGGUGGCGGGGCAAAGGAGGCUGCGGGUGCCUGGAGGUUGAGCAGAGGAGCUCGACGGGGCUGGAUCGAUGGGUGGAUCAGGGAAUAUGGUUGGCUCGAUGGGGAAAACAAGGAAGGAGGAGGCGGCUUCGGUUGCUGGAAUUGGAUCGGGAUGAGAUCCCGAGGAAGAAGUGGCGGCGGCCGAGACGGGAUGGAUGGGACAUCUCCCUAGAUUUUAGGGUUGAUCUAUUUAUAUAGCAAGUGAGCUAGGUUUAGGGGUAUUUGGUCCCUCCGAUCGUAAUCAGACGGUUGAGAAAUAAAUAGGUAGGGAGUCCAAAUAAGAAAACGGAGAUCUUUUAUAGAUGUUUGGGGAUGAUCUGGACUCAACGGUCAUGACUGUGCGGGUCGGGUUCGGGAAGCAUUCGGACGUGCGCGAGGUUGCGAAAGAGAGUCCAUGGCUGUGCAAAGAGAUAAGGUGGUCAAACAAGAGGGAAACGAGAACCCGGUUGGUGUCGAAACGGACAGCGAAGACAAGGGGGACACGGCAACUACGAACGGAUGCAAGUUUUAAAACAUGACGACAACGGAGAGCCGAUGCAAUGCAAAUGAUGACAUGAAGAAACGCAACAAACAGAAGUAAAACACACGACAACAACGAAAAAUAUGGAAGGCAUCUGGAGCGUUGGUCUCGGGGCAUUACAACACUCCACCACUACAAGAGGAUCUCGUCCCGAGAUCUAGGAUGGCACCGGAGAAAAACGGAAGGGGAAGAGGUAAAACAAAGUUGCUUCUUUGAAAAACAAGUGAAACCACGAACCUUGAGAGGUUAAACAAUUUUGAGAAAAGAACAGAACGGAGAUGAUCGAAGUUGAAAACACUCCGUUGGAAAAGAGGAACAAGGAACAUUGCGAAAAAACUUGGGGUUGCAAAGACAUGAAUGAAGAGCUCCAGCAACAAGGAAGGACAUGUAACCACUCCGGUUGAAACGGAAUAAGCAAGGAAUGAGAAUGAAAGAAUGCAGGCAGCACUCCGGUAGAAAAGAGAAGCAAAACUUAAUAAGUUGAAAGAACUUGAAUGAUAGCACAACACUCCUGUUGAACGGAAAAGCAAGGAAAAGAACAUGAUCUUGAGAAAACGAGAUGAUUGGUUGAAGAGAGCAACAUCACAAGGCCUCCGGAAACAAUGCAUGAUAGUUAGAUAGUUGGAAUGAAUAGAACGAAGAAUGAAACCAACAUCUCCUACCAUAAAUGAAUUUGAAAGAGCAUCCUUACGAAGUAGGAUUGAACGGAGUUGUUUGAAAAACAACAACGGUAGGAAUAAGCUUGUAGCGGGCUUAUGGAAACAUCUCAAAAUUAUGAGGUGAGCUUCUGCCACCAACGGAAACAAAUGAUUGGAUUGAUAUCAACAAGGAGACGAGAAACUUAUUUCACCGGGAGGACAAAUGAAGAACUUGGGUCAUUUAUAAGCACCAUAAAUAGCAACAAUCCUUAGGGAAAGCUUUAGGUGAAAUAUAACCCAAGAUAACUCCAAUGAAGAGAUUGAUGGAUUUAAAAUACCUCAUUCUUGACAACAUGUGAAUCAUGAAGCAUGAAGG